GUCAAGAUGUAUUACCUUUAAAUUUGUUGCAAAAUUUUGUAAGCUAUAGGUCGACUCGUGUGACAUGUCCAUGUGGUUUUAUAUAGUACUAAAUUCUAAUUGUGUAUCUUUGCAUAUCUGUUGUGAAAUUAGACUCAAGUCGCCUCAUAUCAUGCGUCAAGAAUCGUGACUGAGUGGACCGAAUCCGGGCUAUAACCUUCAGAGAGGCCAGGGAUGCUGGCACAUCCUUCAUUUCACGUUCCUGGAUAGCUAAAUACGUUAAAAGAGAUGAAUCCUAUGUUGAAAGAAACUGGAACAAAAAUCCAUAUGACUGUCACUGCAAAAAGAGUGAGAAUCUUGGAAGCCCUGAAGUCCUUUCUCAGGAGUCAAAAGACAUCAUAGCUGAGGCAGUGGGUAGACCAAGAAAGUCUUUACGUAAAUUGACGCUUGAACUAGAAACAAAAAGGGGAAAGAAGAGAAGUUAUAGUGCUGUAUAUCGUGAGUUGAAAAAAAUCUGGUAUCAAGCCAUUUCAUGUUAUCAGCAAGCCCAACAUCACUCAGCAACAGAGAAGACUGUGCAUGGUUUUGUGGUUCAUUUCUUAAAGAUUGGGAUGAAGCUGACUCUCUGCAUGUUGCUGUAUCAGAUGAAUUCUUCAUUUACACAGUCAAGAAGCCAAAUCAUAAAAAUGACAUCAUUUGGGCUGCAAAGUUGGAUGAUAUCAGCGAUGAUGUCCGCUAUCGCCAAGUUGUGAAAUUUCCUGAGUGUGUGGGAAUUUUUCUCUGUUUCACAGCCACACAGUUAAUGUGGAUCAUUAAAGAAAAAGGACAGUCAUGGAAUGGUGAAUACUUCAGAGAAACUGUGCUUACUGGUGGAGUAUUUCCUUUCCUCAAAGAUCCUGAUAAUGUGUUAUCUGUGGAAAAAGUCUCAUUUUUGCAUGAUAAGGCACCAUGUUUCAAGGCUCUUCAGACACAGGAGCUGCUUCGAAACAAUGGUAUCGAUUUCUUCUUGUCAAGUGAAUUUCCAGGUAGCCCCCCUGACCUUAAUGUGUGUGAAAACAUUGGUAGUAUCUUAAAGGAUAGUGUUGAAGUGUGCACAGUGAACUUUGAUGGUAGUAUUAGUAUACCAAGCCUCGGCGACCUGCGAAGAGAGGUGACCGAAGUGCUCAGGGAAAUGGAGUUGGAGUCUCAGCUUUUUUGCAAUUUGGUACAGACAGAUGGAGGCCACACACAAUAUUAAAUACUCAGAGAGAAACUUAAAUAAAUAUAUGUUCUGAAUUACUUUUGUUUUUGUCCAUAUCAAUUUUAGUUUAUGCUGCAGAGGGGUGGGGGCCUUUAAUUUCGAAACACCCUGUA